AGGCAGCAGGCGCGCAAUUACCCACUCCCGGCACGGGGAGGUAGUGACAAAAAAUAACGAUACGGGACUCUUAUGAGGCCCCGUAAUCGGAAUGAGUACACUUUAAAUCCUUUAACAAGGAUCCAUUGGAGGGCAAGUCUGGUGCCAGCAGCUGCGGUAAUUCCAGCUCCAAUAGCGUAUAUUAAAGUUGUUGCGGUUAAAAAGCUCGUAGUUGGUUCUGCGUGCUACGCUGUCGGUUCGCCGCCUGCCGGUGUAACUGGCAUGCCGUGGCAUGUCCUGUCGGUGGCGAACGAGCCCCUUGUCUAGGUGACGGCCGGAGGCAACUUCGCGUCCGUAGGCCGGAGGUUCAACUCGUUCGUCUGCUCUAUCCUACCUAGGUGCUCUUCACCGAGUGUCGAGGUAGGCCGACACGUUUACUUUGAACAAAUUAGAGUGCUCAAAGCAGGCUGAAAUCUCUGCCUGAAUAGUGGUGCAUGGAAUAAUAAAACAGGACCUUGGUUCUAUUUUGUUGGUUCUUAAGAACACAAGGUAAUGAUCAAUACGGACAGGCGGGGGCAUUCGUAUUGCGACGUUAGAGGUGAAAUUCUUGGAUCGUCGCAAGACGCACAAGAGCGAAAGCAUUUGCCAAGUAUGUCUUGAUUGAUCAAGAACGAAAGUUAGAGGUUCGAAGGCGAUCAGAUACCGCCCUAGUUCUAACCAUAAACGAUGCCAGCCAGCGAUCCGCCGAUGUUCCUCCGAUGACUCGGCGGGGAGCUUCUCCCCGGGAAACCAAAGCUUUUGGGUUCCGGGGGAAGUAUGGUUGCAAAGCUGAAACUUAAAGGAAUUGACGGAAGGGCACCACCAGGAGUGGAGCCUGCGGCUUAAUUUGACUCAACACGGGAAACCUCACCAGGCCAGGACAUUGGAAGGAUUGACAGAUUGAUAGCUCUUUCUUGAUUCAGUGGGUAGUGGUGCAUGGCCGUUCUUAGUUGGUGGACCGAUUUGUCUGGUUAAUUCCGAUAACGAACGAGACUCUAGCCUAUUAACUAGGCGGUUUCCGGUGUCCUCGCCACCGGCGACACUCAUUCUUCUUAAGGGGACAGGCGGCUUACAGCCGCACGAGAUUGAGCAAUAACAGGUCUGUGAUGCCCUUAGAUGUCCUGGGCCGCACGCGCGCUACACUGAAGGAAUCAGCGUGUGCCUCCCUAGCCGAAAGGCUCGGGUAAUCCGCUGAACCUCCUGCGUGCUAGGAAUUGGGGCUUGCAAUUGUUCCCCAUGAACGAGGAAUUCCCAGUAAGCGCGAGUCAUAAGCUCGCGUUGAUUACGUCCCUGCCCUUUGUACACACCGCCCGUCGCUACUACCGAUUGAAUGAUUUAGUGAGGUCUUCGGACUGGCGGUAAUCAGCUCUGACAUCCGUCAGUCUUGAUGUACGCUGGAAAGAUGACCAAACUUGAUCAUUUAGAGGAAGUAAAAGU
rnacentral:rRNA from 1 species